CAGGCGGCGACGGGUAUCCGGCCUGAGAGGGUGUACGGACACAUUGGGACUGAGAUACGGCCCAGACUCCUACGGGAGGCAGCAGUGGGGAAUAUUGCACAAUGGGCGCAAGCCUGAUGCAGCGACGCCGCGUGGGGGAUGAAGGCCUUCGGGUUGUAAACUCCUUUCGCUAUCGACGAAGCCUNUUGGGGAGA
rnacentral:rRNA from 1 species